AACGAACGCUGGCGGCAGGCUUAACACAUGCAAGUCGAACGGGUGUAGCAAUACAUCAGUGGCAGACGGGUGAGUAACACGUGGGAACCUUCCUAGGGGUACGGAACAACUCAGGGAAACUUGAGCUAAUACCGUAUACGUCCGUAAGGAGAAAGAUUCAUCGCCCCUAGACGGGCCCGCGUCGGAUUAGGUAGUUGGUGGGGUAACGGCCUACCAAGCCUACGAUCCGUAGCUGAUCUGAGAGGANGAUCAGCCACACUGGGACUGAGACACGGCCCAGACUCCUACGGGAGGCAGCAGUGGGGGAAUCUUGGACAAUGGGCGCAAGCCUGAUCCAGCCAUGCCGCGUGAGUGAAGAAGGCCUUAGGGUUGUAAAGCUCUUUUACCAGGGACGAUAAUGACGGUACCUGGAGAAUAAGCCCCGGCAAAC
rnacentral:rRNA from 1 species